AGCAGCGUGGCUUACUGGAUAGAGCACAUGCCUGGGAUUCAGAAGGAUCUGGGUUCUAAUCCCAGCUCUGCCU
rnacentral:tRNA from 1 species